rnacentral:rRNA from 1 species
UACGGGAGGCAGCAGUGGGGAAUAUUGCACAAUGGGCGCAAGCCUGAUGCAGCCAUGCCGCGUGUAUGAAGAAGGCCUUCGGGUUGUAAAGUACUUUCAGUCGUGAGGAAGGUGUUAAGGUUAAUAACCUUAGCAAUUGACGUUAGCGACAGAAGAAGCACCGGCUAACUCCGUGCCAGCAGCCGCGGUAAUACGGAGGGUGCGAGCGUUAAUCGGAAUUACUGGGCGUAAAGGGCACGCAGGCGGUUAAUUAAGUUGGAUGUGAAAUCCCCGGGCUUAACCUGGGAAUGGCAUUCAAGACUGGUUAGCUAGAGUCUUGUAGAGGGGGUAGAAUUCCAUGUGUAGCGGUGAAAUGCGUAGAGAUGUGGAGGAAUACCGGUGGGCGAAAGGCGGCCCCUGGGACAAAGGACUGACGCUCAUGUGCGAAAGCGUGGGGAGCAAAACGAGGGAUUAGAUACC